UAUUACAAACUUAAUCGGAUAAAGUCAUUAAAAAAUAUCAAAUAACUUACAAAUGAAAAUAACUACUACUCGAAACACCAAAGGCGUUACAAAUGCAUUACCGGCGUUUUAGGGGUUAGGAAUUUAACGAUUUUUCGGGAAUCGAGGAUUGGGAAGAUUGGGAAUCCGUUAUCCUCACUCACACAACGCAAGCGUUGUUUCACGUCGGUUUUCUGCUCGGCCGUGGUAUCACUCCGGUCGAGCCGACCCAGCAGUGCCGAAGCAUGGCUCUCCCACACUUAAAAUAUACCUACCGCCAACUGCCCAUAGACAGGCGGCAGUGCCUAAAAAUUAGAUGUG